rnacentral:rRNA from 1 species
UAGAGUUUGAUCAUGGCUCAGGAUGAACGCUAGCGACAGGCUUAACACAUGCAAGUCGAGGGGCAGCGGGGGUGAUGGCUUGCCAUCACCUGCCGGCGACCGGCGCACGGGUGAGUAACACGUAUGCAACCUGCCCGCCACAGGGGGAUAAGCGGAAGAAAUUCCGUCUAAUACCGCGUGACGCGGCACCGGGGCAUCCCGGUGCCGCCAAAGGGAUUACCGGUGGCGGAUGGGCAUGCGGCGCAUUAGCUAGUCGGCGGGGUAACGGCCCACCGAGGCGACGAUGCGUAGGGGUUCUGAGAGGAAGGUCCCCCACACUGGUACUGAGACACGGACCAGACUCCUACGGGAGGCAGCAGUGAGGAAUAUUGGUCAAUGGGCGCGAGCCUGAACCAGCCAAGUCGCGUGAGGGAUGACGGUCCUACGGAUUGUAAACCUCUUUUGCCGGGGAGCAAGCGUGCGUUCGUGAACGCGCGUCGAGAGUACCCGGAGAAAAAGCAUCGGCUAACUCCGUGCCAGCAGCCGCGGUAAUACGGAGGAUGCGAGCGUUAUCCGGAUUUAUUGGGUUUAAAGGGUGCGUAGGCGGGAUGCCAAGUCAGCGGUAAAAAAGCGGUGCUCAACGCCGUCGAGCCGUUGAAACUGGCGUUCUUGAGUGGGCGAGAAGUAUGCGGAAUGCGUGGUGUAGCGGUGAAAUGCAUAGAUAUCACGCAGAACUCCGAUUGCGAAGGCAGCAUACCGGCGCCCUACUGACGCUGAGGCACGAAAGCGUGGGUAUCGAACAGGAUUAGAUACCCUGGUAGUCCACGCAGUAAACGAUGAAUGCUAACUGUCCGGUGCGAGUGAGCGCUGGGCGGUACAGCGAAAGCGUUAAGCAUUCCACCUGGGGAGU